rnacentral:rRNA from 1 species
UCCGAAGGGGGCUAGCGUUGUUCGGAAUUACUGGGCGUAAAGCGCACGUAGGCGGAUUACCAAGUCGGGGGUGAAAUCCCGGAGCUCAACUCCGGAACUGCCUUUGAAACUGGUAGGCUCGAGUCCGGAAGAGGGGCGUGGAAUUCCCAGUGUAGAGGUGAAAUUCGUAGAUAUUGGGAAGAACACCGGUGGCGAAGGCGGCGCCCUGGUCCGGUACUGACGCUGAGGCGCGAAAGCGUGGGGAGCAAACAGG